rnacentral:rRNA from 1 species
UACGUAGGUCCCGAGCGUUGUCCGGAUUUAUUGGGCGUAAAGCGAGCGCAGGUGGUUUAUUAAGUCUGGUGUAAGAGGCAGUGACUCAACCAUUGUAUGCAUUGGAAACUGGUAGACUUGAGUGCAGGAGAGGAGAGUGGAAUUCCAUGUGUAGCGGUGAAAUGCGUAGAUAUAUGGAGGAACACCGGUGGCGAAAGCGGCUCUCUGGCCUGUAACUGACACUGAGGCUCGAAAGCGUGUGGAGCAAACAGG